UUAUAAUUCAGAACUUGGUAUGGGUGCAGCAGCUGGUGUUGUGAAUCAGGCCGGUAAAAAGCAACUGCUACGAUCCGGCUAUUUCACAACACCAGGGUUGCAUCAUACCACUAUCUUCAAUGCAAGAU
rnacentral:pre_miRNA from 17 species